GUAAGGGGCGAGCAUUAUCCGGAUUUAUUGGGCAUAAAGGGCGCGUAGGCGGUAAUUUAAGUCAGAUGUCAAAGGCUGUAGCUCAACUAUAGUACGCAUUUGAAACUGAAUUACUUGAGAUCAGGAGAGGGAAGCGGAACUUACAGUGUAGCGGUGAAAUGCGUAGAUAUUGUAAGGAACACCAGUUGCGAAGGCGGCUUCCUGGACUGAAUCUGACGCUGAGGCGCGAAAGCGUGGGGGAGCAAACGGGAUUAGAUACCCCGGUAGUCCACGCCGUAAACGGUGUUCACUAGGUGUAGGAGGUAUCGACCCCCCUUCUGUGCCACAGAUAAUUCGUUAAGUGAACAGCCUGGGAAGUACGACCGCAAGGUUA
rnacentral:rRNA from 1 species